rnacentral:rRNA from 1 species
AUGAAUAACUUGUUAAAUAAAUUUAAAGUUUAACUUAUAAGAAAAAUAAUUUUAAAUUGAAACUGUUAGUAAUUUGUAAUAAAAUCAGUUAAAGACUAUAGUUUAGAGUACUGUAAAGGAAAGUAAGAAAAUUAAAAAUAGUAAAUUUAAAAAUAUGUACCUUGUGUAUCAGGGAGAAUUUAUAUAAAUUAAUAAUAAUUAAGUAUCUCGAAAUAAAAUAUAGCUAAUUUUAUAAAAAAUUUUUUGUAGAAAAUAAAUUUUUAAUAUAAAAUUAAAGGUGAAACGCUAAUCGAGUUUUAUAAUAUCUAGUUCUUUAAAAAUAAAUUUAAUUUAGUUUUUAUAUAAACAAGAUAGAAAAACUAAGUGUAGGAGGGAUUAGCUUCUUAUAAACAAGAAUAAUAAAGAGCUAAGUAAAAAUAUAAAUAUAACGAAUUAGGCUUAAAAGCAGCUAUAUUGAUAAAGUGUUUUAACUAAGUUAAAAUUAGAUAAUAUUUGUUAAAGCUUUUUUUAAUAUUAAAGAAUUAAUUUAAACUAAAAGAAUUAAAUUAAAAUGAUUCUAUUAGUAAAAAUUUAUUAUAAAAUGAAUUAAUAAAAUAAUAAAAAUUAUUUAAAGUUUAUUUAAUAAAAUAUAGGAACUCGGCAAAUUUUAUUUCUUUGCCUGUUUAUCAAAAACAUGUCUAUUUGAAGUUAUAAAAAGUCUAACCUGCCCACUGAUAAAUUAUAUUAAAUGGCCGCGGUAUUUUGACCGUGCAAAGGUAGCAUAAUCGUUAGUUUUUUAAUUGGAAUCUUGUAUGAAUGGUUGGACAAAAGAAAAGCUGUCUUUAUAUUAUUCAUUGAAUUUAACUCUUAAGUGAAAAGGCUUAAAUAUAUUAAAGGGACGAUAAGACCCUAUAAAGCUUAAUAUUAAAAUUUUAUUUAGUUGAAUUUUAAAUCAUAAAAACUUAGUAAUUAAAUUUAUUUUAUUGGGGCGAUAAAAGUAAAAUGACUAUUAACUGCUUAAUUAUUAAUACAUAAUAAAUGAUUAAAUUUUUAAAUGAUCCUAGUUAAAGAUUAAAAGUUUAAGUUACUUUAGGGAUAACAGCGUUAUUUUUUUUAAGAGUACUUAUCGAAAAAAAAGUUUGCGACCUCGAUGUUGAAUUAAAAUAUCUUUAUAAUUGCAGCAGUUAUAAAAGUAGGUCUGUUCGACCUUU